rnacentral:rRNA from 1 species
GAUGAACGCUGGCGGCGUGCUUAACACAUGCAAGUCGAACGAUGAAGCCCAGCUUGCUGGGUGGAUUAGUGGCGAACGGGUGAGUAACACGUGAGUACACUGCACUUAACUCUGUGAUAAGCCUGGGAAACUGGGUCUAAUCCCGGAUAGGAGCGUCCACCGCAUGGUGGGUGUUGGGAAGCUUUAUCGGUUUUGGAUGGACUCGCGGCCUAUCAGCUUGUUGGUGAGGUAAUGGCUCACCAAGGCCACGACGGGUAGCCGGCCUGAGAGGGUGACCGGCCACACUGGGACUGAGACACGGCGCAGUCUCCUACGGGAGACAGCAGUGGGGAAUAUUACACAGUGGGCGCAAGCCUGAGGCAGCGACGCCGCGGUAGGGAUGACGUCCUGCGGGGUGUAAACCGCUUUCAGUAGGGAAGAAGCGAAAGUGACGGUACCUGCAGAAGAAGCACCGGCUAACUACGUG